rnacentral:rRNA from 1 species
CAGUCGCCGCGGGAAUACGUAGGGUGCGAGCGUUAAUCGGAAUUACUGGGCGUAAAGCGUGCGCAGGCGGUUAUGUAAGACAGGUGUGAAAUCCCCGGGCUUAACCUGGGAACUGCGCUUGUGACUGCACAGCUAGAGUAUGGCAGAGGGGGGUGGAAUUCCACGUGUAGCAGUGAAAUGCGUAGAGAUGUGGAGGAACACCGAUGGCGAAGGCAGCCCCUGGGCCAAUACUGACGCUCAUGCACGAAAGCGUGGGGAGCAAACAGGAUUAGAUACCCCAGUAGUCCCUGUCUCUUAUACA